GGAGCAAACAGGAUUAGAUACCCUGGUAGUCCACNCUKUAAMCGAUGUCGAUUUGAMGGUUGUUCCCUUGAGGAGUGGCUUUCGGAGCUAANGCGUUAAAUCGACCGCCUGGGGAGUACGGCCGCAAGGUUAAAACUCAAAUGAAUUGACGGGGGCCCGCACAAGCGGUGGAGCAUGUGGUUUAAUUCGAUGCAACGCGAAGAACCUUACCUACUCUUGACAUCCAGAGAGUUUAGCAGAGAUGCUUUAGUGCCUUCGGGAACUCUGAGACAGGUGCUGCAUGGCUGUCGUCAGCUCGUGUUGUGAAAUGUUGGGUUAAGUCCCGCAACGAGCGCAACCCUUAUCCUUUGUUGCCAGCGAUUCGGUCGGGAACUCAAAGGAGACUNCCGGUGAUAAACCGGAGGAAGGUGGGGAUGACGUCAAGUCAUCAUGGCCCUUACGAGUAGGGCUACACACGUGCUACAAUGGCGUAUACAAAGAGAAGCGACCUCGCGAGAGCAAGCGGAACUCAUAAAGUACGUCGUAGUCCGGAUUGGAGUCUGCAACUCGACUCCAUGAAGUCGGAAUCGCUAGUAAUCGUAGAUCAGAAUGGUACGGUGAAUACGUUCCCGGGCNUUGUACACACCGCCCGUCACACCAUGGGAUGUGGGUUGCAAAAGAAGUAGGUAGCUUAACCUUCGGGAGGGCGCUUACCACUUUGUGAUUCAUGAGCUGGGGUGAAGUCGUAA
rnacentral:rRNA from 1 species